AGGUUUCUGGUGGAACCGUUGGUCUCUGGAACCAAGUGCAUAGGUUCGAAUCCUAU
rnacentral:tRNA from 1 species